CGGAUAUCUUUACUUAAAUAUAAUCUAGUUUACAAAAAAAAAAAAAAAAAUUUCCUCCAGGUGCCAAACUUCCAGGUGCGGCCGUUCACGGAAACUGUUUCAUGAGUUGUAUAAUGGAGAUCUAAAGACCUGGUGCGGAAAUUCCACCAGGCAGAGGUGUGACUAUGAAUUGGCACAGUUAUUAUUUUGACCUUCCUUUGUAUGGGUGCAGUGGGGUGGUAUUGCAAGGAUGCUGCCUGAAACCGGCAUCCACAAGGACAGAGACAGUAAAAGCUGGUGUAUGUGUUUAGUUGUACAAAUCAGCAAGUUAUUUAAGGUGAGAGAUGCCUUUAACAUUUACAAAUUAGAAGCAUUUUCUCCUGUAAUCCAGUUCAGAGGAAGUGUGAUUCACACUGAUCUUCCCUGAUGUUUCGUCCCGGCACUGGAUACAUGCUGGUUGGUGAGCUGCUAGUCUUUGAACAGUUAACUCAGACCAACUCACCACAAAGCAGAGAGGACCUGUUUUUCAUAUCUUCCUGUCUGAUCGGUAUGCUGGACUUCAUCCACAUUCAAAGGAGCACACCCGAGAGAAAAUGGAAUGAGAAAAAAAGAACAAUGCUGAAAACGCUGGAGAUGGUCAUGGGUGCAAACACUUCAGUGCAAAAGACUGAAGAAAAAGGAGUCCGAUGUAAUAAUCCUGCGGCCAGCUACAAUAUGCCAUUCUUCUGCACCUUGGUCAGUGGGACAGAUCCCUGGGCUCCUCCAGGGGAGAAGGAGGAGAAAACUUCUUUCCCACUUGGGACAUGGUUACGGCUGGGUUUUGCAGCUCUCACUAUCUCCCCUGCAGGGAUGGCCUGGAUCCUGCCAUGUAAAUCAAAGAAGAGAGGGCCUGACUCAGCUGCCUAGCCUGCGUCACCUGGAACCCAUUAUGAUACAGGAUCAUAAACACCUCCAUUUUCCCUCCAGAGAGAGACCAGACCCACUGAAGUUAAGCUACCUGCAUAAGAGUUGAGUGCGAUCAGCUGUACUUAAUCUUUAAAUGUCCAACCCACUGAUAACCUUUGGUUUGCUUUGAUAACUGUGAAAUAAAUUCUCACUGCAUCGGAUGCCGGCA
rnacentral:lncRNA from 1 species